rfam:Bacillus selenitireducens MLS10, complete genome.
CUCUUAUCCCGAGUUGGCGGAGGGACAGGCCCGACGAAGCCCAGCAACCAUCACCAUUGACAAGGUGAACGGUGCUAACCUGCAAGGUGACAUCACCUUGAGCGAUAAGAG